rnacentral:snRNA from 1 species
AGCUUUGUGCAGUGGCAGUAUUGUAGCUAAUGAGGUUUAUCUGAGGUGCGAUUAUUGCUAGUUGAAAACUUUUCCCAAUACCCCGCUAUCACGGCUUGAAAUACAGCUGGUGAUGGCAAUUUUUGACAAUCUCCAGAGAGA